rnacentral:rRNA from 1 species
GACGAACGCUGGCGGCGUGCUUAACACAUGCAAGUCGAACGGUAAAGCCCUUCGGGGUACACGAGUGGCGAACGGGUGAGUAACACGUGGGUGAUCUGCCCUGCACUUCGGGAUAAGCCUGGGAAACUGGGUCUAAUACCGGAUAGGACCACUGCCUGCAUGGGGGGUGGUGGAAAGCUUUUGCGGUGUGGGAUGGGCGCGCGGCCUAUCGGCUUGUUGGUGGGGUGAUGGCCUACCAAGGCGACGACGGGUAGCCGGCCUGGGAGGGUGACCGUCCACACUGGGACUGAGAUACGGCCCAGACUCCUACGGGAGGCAGCAGUGGGGAAUAUUGCACAAUGGGCGCAAGCCUGAUGCAGCGACGCCGCGUGAGGGAUGACGGCCUUCGGGUUGUAAACCUCUUUCAGCACCGACGAAGCGCAAGUGACGGUAGGUGCAGAAGAAGGACCGGCCAACUACGUGCCAGCCGCCGCAGUAA